rnacentral:rRNA from 1 species
CGCUGCGCGGCAUGCUUAACACAUGCAAGUCGAACGGCAGCGCGAGGAAGCUUGCUUCCUUGGCGGCAGUGGCGGACGGGUGAGUAAUGCAUAGGAAUCUGCCUUAUAGUGGGGGAUAACCCGAGGAAACUCGGGCUAAUACCGCAUAAUCUCUACGGAGCAAAGCUGGGGACCUUCGGGCCUGGCGCUAAAAGAUGAGCCUAUGUCGGAUUAGCUAGUUGGUAGGGUAAAGGCCUACCAAGGCGACAUCCGUAGCUGGUCUGAGAGGAUGGCCAGCCACACUGGGACUGAGACACGGCCCAGACUCCUACGGGAGGCAGCAGUGGGGAAUAUUGGACAAUGGGCGCAAGCCUGAUCCAGCAAUGCCGCGUGUGUGAAGAAGGCCUUCGGGUUGUAAAGCACUUUCAGUGGGGAGGAAAGCUUCAGGGUUAAUAACCCUGAGGGGUGACGUUACCUACAGAAGAAGCACCGGCUAACUCUGUGCCAGCAGCCGCGGUAAUACAGAGGGUGCAAGCGUUAAUCGAAUUACUG